rnacentral:lncRNA from 1 species
AGGAAUAGACCAUAUCUAGUUAUAACCUUUGCCUAAUCUUCCAUCAUCUAGGAGGAAACUCACCAACCUUUAAUCGCAUAUCUGCCGAGUUCGACUAACACGGUAAUUAAUUUUCUAGGUAAACAUCUAUAAUAGCUUUGGCAUCAAAUCCACGUUAUAAGGUUAUGUCAUUGCAAUAAGCCAUAAACGUCUCCUUUGUUAAUAUCUCUGAAACUCUAUUUGUUUGUUUGGUGAUUCAAUGUAGUGUUCGCUAUUUGUUUAUUUGUUUGGUGAGUCGAGAUAGUCCUCACAAUUUGUUUGUGAAAUCUCAUGUUAUGAGGUUUCUUUUGGAUAAUUUGGUGAGUCAAGAUAGUGCUCAAAAUUUGUUUGUGAAGAGUUCUCAUUGAAGACAUAUUUGAAUAUUUUCGUGCUUCUCUCUCUAUUUGCUCUUCUAUUUGAUUUCGAUUUGGUUUGAUAUGGUUUUGUGGCCUUGGUUGCUUCUUCCUCUUUGCUUGCUCCUCUUUUGUUUACUAUGAUAUUAGUUGUUGUUUUUUUUUACAAACUCUCGAUGCUUCUAGUCGUUGCAUCAUGGGUUUGAAGUGAGGUGUUAGAUAAUAAAUUAUUAGAUCUAUGUUAUUAGGUCAUUUAAGUUUCUAAGUUACUAGUCUAAUCCAUUAUGUUUUUCUAUAUAUUUGUCGAUUACAUUUGUUAUAUUAUGUCAUUGUAACAAACUCCUGACUGAGUGUAAGAAUGACGUGUUAGGUGAGAGUUCAUGUAAGAAUUUUUCUUUGUUAAACUCUAUUUUGUUAACAAAACUAAUUCAAAAUUCUUGAUAUACAAUUGUUCUAACUCAUUAAUAUUAAAAAAAUAUUGAUAAUCAAGAUACUCCCAAACUUGUCUAGAUUGUAACAUAAACACAUAAUAUAUUUUAUUUUUAAAGAGAAUGUUGACAUCGAACAUACGAAAAAACUUUAAACAAAUUGAAAUAUGCUACUACCCAACCAAAACUAAUAUAGCAAUUCAUGCCUAUAGUGUCCAAAAUCAGGAACCAUAAAACUAGCACUACUAUUAUCUUUUCUCUAAAAAAAAAAAAAAAAAACUAGCACUACUACUAAGACCUCUCUUCCUAUCACACCUGUUUGUAGUGUUAUUGAAGAUUGAAUAGUUAUAUAAUAUUGGAAGUUGACGAGGAACAUGAAUUCAUGUGAAUCUCUUUCCCUUGCAAAGAUGCAUCUAAAUUAAGCUUCAAUUUUUUCAAAGAAGUCUUAAAUUGCUUAAGAGAUUCCAAAGCCAUAUCAUCAAUAGAAUGAUCCCACCAAGAAGGAAGGCAUGAACUACUGUUGUUUGUCUCUUUUACAGCUUGUAAAUUAUUCUUCUCUUCUUUCAGCCGUUCUUGAAUUGUCUCAUGUUGAAGCCUUGAGGUUUCAAUUGUGUACUCAUCUUGCUUCCCUUUUUCAGUGUUGAUGACUGGGUUUUCCUUAUCGAAAAAGUGUUUAAUGACAGUGUCAUGGUUAGGGUAUCCGCAUGCAUGGAGAUUUUUGUUUGGUGAAGUGAUGAUCAGUGCGGUUUUUGCAUUGCAUAGAAUGGAUAAUUCUGUUACUUUGUUGAAGAGUCCUAGUUUGCGCUUUGAAAAGGUAUCACGCCGCUUGUUCGAUGGCUUUGCUUUCUUGAUUUCAAUGGUUUUCUUCCGUGAGUUGCUUCGUUUUGUUGACGUGUUGUUUCCAUCCGUAAGAAGCCAUUGAAUCUUUCUUCCAAGAGAAGAGAAGAAAAAGAGGUAAGAAAGAACUCAAAGAAACAGUGAAAUAAAAAUUUGACUUGGUUGUAAAAUAUUGGAGGAUCCUUCCUUUUAUAGAAACAUACACUCACACACUUUUUUAUUUCUUUAUUUUUACCUCUAAUAUAUUUUAGUUGUUUUCUUAAGAAUGUAUAUUUGUAAUUUUUUUAUUGUGUG